UUUACAUCACAUUACACACCACCCCUCCUAAAUCCUAAUUCCCAAAUCCAUUCCCUGGAAUCCCUGCGACCUUGUCCUCCAGUCUCCGAACACCGGCGCUUCCUCCCCACCGCCGCGAUCUGCCACACUUUUUCGACUGCUUCGCCGGACCACCUCCCCCAUUUUUCCACCGAGAUAUGCCCCUCUCAUCUCCACACCGGCCCCACAUUUCCCUUCACCGAUCUGCGAUCUGCCUCCCACCAUCGCCGCUUCCUUUCCCCACAACGAUCUGCCCCCUCGCAUCUCUAUACCGGUUCUCCGCGCCGACCACUAGAUAUGCCACCUCCAUUUCCUUCCUCCAGCGAUUCGCCCCAUCGGCCCCAGCCCGUCACCAAGCCACGACCAUGAUUUUUGGUUCUAGGUGCCUGGUCCAGAACCGCCGCUCGCCAGCCGCUGUGUUGCACUCACCCACUCCUAUUCUCACUUCAACUAAAUAUAGAUCCUUCAAAUGAGCUUUGCAAUGGCACAAGGAUGAUAGUCACCAAACUUGGGAAGAUUAAUUACCAGUGUAAUCCUCAAUAAUCCAAUUAUGACAUGACGUUUUUGGCUAUUGUGGGAGCCUCUCUCUAGGUCAACACCCAGUACAACUACGAGAGAUCAACGAGUGGAUGGAUCCCCAUUAAUCUAGACCACGAUCUAUUAGGCCUCAAGCUCAUCGAUGGGUGGGGUCCAAAACAUCAAGGACAAACAAAGACUAAGGUCAUGCCCAAACAUUAAUUGCCAAGAUCCAAGUCUCACGAACUCCGACUAGGGAUUAGGCACGAGACAUAACGCGUGCGGGGUUUCAUAGCUCAUCACUUAUUCAAUUGUUACAUGUACUAAUGUAAUAAUUUAUAUAGUACAUGAUUAAUUAAUGCUAAUUAAUCGAUGUUUAAUAAACAUUAACUAAUCUUUAAUGUUUAUCACUUUAUCCCACGACUCUAUAUUUUAACUAAUUAAUUUUAAUUAAUUAUAUCUAACUCACCAGAAAUCGAUUUUAAAACUAAUCAAAUGUCUUAUUACUCGAAAUAAUUGACCCAACAUUAAUCUUCUCAAAACUAAUUUUCCAACAUAUAGAUUAAAAAUAACUAAAUUGAUUAUUUUAGUUUUUUAUGGUUAUUUUGAAAAUAAGAAAAAUAUUUGAAAAUGUUGAAAAAGUAAGGGUUAAUUGCCCUUAAAUACACCACAUUUCCUUGAAUUCUACAAUUACACAUCACUUUUAAAAUUCGCCCCUAAAUACACCACUUUUUCUUGAAUUCUACAAUUGCAUAUCACCUUUAAAUCCGCCCCAAAAUACAUCACCUUUAUAUUUUUUCUGUUUUUGCACAUGACUAAAAAAUCCUCAAGAAAUAAAUUAAAGUGUUAAUUUAUAAAUUUAAAUAUCUUUUUAGCAGCGGAAAUAUAAUAAAAUAAAUUUUUUUAUUUAUUUUUAUAAAGAAUUUUAUUUUAUUAUAUUUCCGCUUUAAAUUUAUAUUUAACACUUUAGUUAGAUUAGGGUGUUACCACUUUAAAUGACGUGGCUUCCAGAUUGGCAAAACUAUGUCGUUUUGAAUGUUAUGAUCGUAUGUGUUACCAUUUUAUUAACGUGGACAAUAAUUGCAUGUUGCCACACUAAGUAUACUAUG